AAAACAACUAUCUGGUAUCCUGAUAGAGCUAUUAAGAACAACUAUCUGGUAUCCUGUUAGAGCUAUUAAGAAUAACUAUCUGGUAUCCUGAUAGAGCUAUUAAGAACAACUAUCUGGUAUCCUGAUAGAGCUAUUAAGAACAAUUUGAGAACAGCGAUACGUGUGUAACGAGUGUUGCUUAAGUAAAACGGCCGAUUGCAGGACAAUAUUUCUAAAGAUGGACGCGCAUUUAUUAUUGUACACAGACAUCGUCUAUUGGUAUUCUGUGCUCUUUUGAGCGAACGAUAAGGAACAGAUUUCUGGGGUUUACAGUAAUUACGGUAACUCCGUCGCAAACCGUGUUUUCACCAUGACGUUGUUACUUUUUACUGAUGCUCGUAGUGUUUUAGUAACCUUUGUUGCAGUGGCGGGUCCUGUUUAAAAAAGAGGUCCAAAGUGGUCACCAAAACUUAUAUGCCAAAGAGGGCGACAGUCAAACCAAAGAAAGACUAUAUGGAAAAUUAGUUUUUCGUCUGAGCGGGACGAGUUCCGGCUACCUUCUCCCUAGAGUUAUAUCAAUUUAGGAGUGCAAUACAGGAAAAUGUCCUCCAUUUGCAUGAACAAAUUUAAAAAGAUAACCGUGUUUCAUAUACAUUUAUUUUUCCUUUUAUGGAAUCAGACUGACUCCCACUAUUCCGCAUAUUUUUAUUCGGUUUAAGAUCCGGUUUAAAAUAUCUGUGCAGAGUUUUUUGAACAUGUAUAUGUCGCCAUUUUACUACAUAUUUUUUAAUGUGUGUUCCGAAUGCAGAGUUAUUACCCUUUUUUUUGUAAAAUCGUGGAAUAUUAUAUCUAUCAUGGUAAAAUGAACCAUUUAAAAUGACACACAUUUCUGAAUUUUAUCAAUAACCAGAAAUAUUCUAAUACAAUAUAGAUUGUAAAACAGUAUUGAGAGAAUCUUCUCUGAACCUUAGAAAGUGGUUUGUAUAAAGACAAUGGCAGGAUAACACACAAAAGAAGACAAGAUCAUGCUAGAAAUACAAAAACAGAAUGCCGACAGAACACAAUUCCAUUGACUGAGGAAUUGAAUUGGGGUUCUUUUUUUUUUAAUUUUCAUUAUUUUUGACCGUUUUUCUCUAGCUAUUUUCCCACUUUUCCUAUUCUUAAUAAUUCAUCAUCCCAUUUUUCUUCAUUUUCUUGCUUGUUUUUCUCUAAUCUCUAUCUUUUCCCUCCAUUUUCACUAUAUAUAAUAUUCCUUAUAUUAAGCACCCCAUUUUUCUUUAUUUUGUAUUUUCUAGUCUGUUCUUCUCUAUAAUCUCUAUCUUUUCCCCCUUUUCAUUAUAACAAUUUCUUUAUAUUACACACCCCAUUUUUAUUUUUUCUGUAUUGUCUUGUCCUCUUUUCUAAAAUCCCCCUUUUAUUAUUCUACAAUUUUUGCUCUUAGUUCUCAAUUUUCUAAACCCCCAUCCACAACAUCAUGAAUGAUACAGAUAUAUAUAAAAAAAAAUACCAUUAUAUAGUUUACAAUGAUUAUUUACUUACCGUACAUGAUAAAAUUCUUCAAUGAUCUUGAUCUUCAUUCUUGUAAGAUGCAAUCGACACUGAAAUAGACGCCGUUGUUCAAAUUACCAGAACAGGUUAAAGAAAUCAAUUUUUAAUCACUGAAAUUGUCCGUAAAUUUUGUUAUAUUCUCUAUUAUGUAGUAUUACACAACAAGAAUCGAUACUCAUACUGGGAACUAUAACGAACUCAUGAUCAUCAUUCAAUGCGGUCCUUCUUUUUCUUGUUCUGUCGUCUGCUUUUCAAUUGUAACCCGGAUGCAUGCUGAGAACAAAAUGGCCUCUUGUGUCAUCUGAAAAUGACAAUAAGAAAGUUAAUAAGUAUAUUUAUUCUGCAUGAAUGAACUAAGUAUAAGACUGAAGAGGGGUUAUCACGACUUUUAACCCCCACCGCUGUUUCUUACAUCAUUUAUCUAUCACAAGUCGAGGAUAAUUAAACAAAGACAUGAAUGGACGUUAUAUUUUUUUUAUCUAAAAGGGGCAUGUCUCUCGACUUUUCUACCCGAAUAUCUUCAUCACUUAAGUAGAUAAAGAUUACCUACCGAUUACAAUACGGACGAAGGGUAUACAUGUUGCAGACACGUUAUCGCAGGUUUUACGACAUCAAAGGCAAAUUAAAUAUAAGUUUGUCGUUUGUCAAAUAGUCACUGAUGAAAUAGUUUCGGAGAUGAUUUGACGCUGACGGGAAUGAGGACUAAAACAGCAGGGAUUAUUUUUUGAAAAUAAAUUGAAUAUAACACUGAUAAUAAAUUGUAACGUCAAGUAUGUGACAAAAGAGGUCGAUUCUUAAAUUGUAUAUUAACAUGUAGUGACAAACAUUACAUGCAUAUUCCAGUAGAGACCGAAAUGCUCUUCAACUUGUCUUCGUAAUUGAAUAAGUCUGAAUUCUUUUAUUCGAGCGUAAUGGGCGAGUCUUUUGUAGACGAAACGCGCGCCAGGCUUACAGCAUUAGAAGUUUUGUAUAUGAGUUUGAAAUAAAAUAUAUUAUAUAAUAACAAGCAUUCUCUGCAAAUAAUCUUAGGAUAGUGAAAAGAGUCACUUAUCAUCAGGAAUAUAUUAUAUAUACAUGUAAACAAAAAUUUAAAAAAAACUUGUUUCUGUC
rnacentral:lncRNA from 1 species